rnacentral:rRNA from 1 species
GAUGAACGCUGGCGGCGUGCUUAACACAUGCAAGUCGAACGGUGAACGAGGGAGCUUGCUCCCUCCGGAUCAGUGGCGAACGGGUGAGUAACACGUGAGCAAUCUGCCCUGGACUCUGGGAUAAGCGUUGGAAACGACGUCUAAUACCGGAUACGAGGCGUGGGGGCAUCCCCAACGCCUGGAAAGAACUUCGGUCCAGGAUGAGCUCGCGGCCUAUCAGGUAGUUGGUGAGGUAAUGGCUCACCAAGCCUACGACGGGUAGCCGGCCUGAGAAGGUGACCGGCCACACUGGGACUGAGACACGGCCCAGACUCCUACGGGAGGCAGCAGUGGGGAAUAUUGCACAAUGGGCGAAAGCCUGAUGCAGCAACGCCGCGUGAGGGACGACGGCCUUCGGGUUGUAAACCUCUUUUAGCAGGGAAGAAGCGAAAGUGACGGUACCUGCAGAAAAAGCACCGGCUAACUACGUGCCAGCCGCCGCCGUAAGAC